GUAUGGAAAUGCUUAGGGAAAGGGAUUUAAAAGGGAGAUUCUGAAAUCCUUGGGGAAUUCCAAAGGAGGCCAGAGCUUUCUAGCCAUGUGAAUUAAUGACAUUGUCCAGGAAUUAGUGAGUCAUGUGUCAGGCAUACUGAGGUCAGAAUGGGGCCAAGAGAAGGAAACAAGCCUUGGACAUAGGAACUCCUGUCUGCUCAGCCAGAAUGACUGUGAGAGACUAACUUCAUUCAGCAGAUUUUUCUUGAAUGUUUUGUAUUUGUGAGGUGCUUGGGAUUCAGGUUCAGUUUCUAUUUUUUAAGAGGUAAAAAUUUAAGAAAUCACUUAGGGAUAAGUACAGUUGGCUACAGGAGAGCUUCUAGGCUAGGGAGAGUAGACUAUGUUAUCUUAACCUAUGUAAGGAGGUGGAGGUUGAACUAAUGAGCUCACAGGAAGUAAUCCAAGCAGUGACACUACCUUGAUUGAAUUAUAAAGAUUGUAUAAAGAAGGGGAAGUAUAUUCCAUAUAGAGAGAGUCAGAUGAGCAAAGACUCAAAAGGUAUGACAAUUUGGUAGACUAAAGCUAAGGGUGGGUGGAGGAACAGAUAGAUCCAGAGAAGAAUCUGAAGAGCCUGGGGGGACAAGUAGACAAAAAUCAUUAUCACGGUCAGAAUUGUAAAUUCUAUCCAGAAGAGAAUGGCACAUGGGUAGACACUGAAGAUAAAGCCAGGGAAAGGCAUAGCUAGAUUUGCAUUGUAGAAAUUUCAUUUGGUAGAAGUGAGUGAACAGUGGAGGAGAAAGUUUGAGGCCUAUGACUGGCUACCCAGCUCUGUCCAGUGCCUGUCCAGCCC
rnacentral:lncRNA from 1 species